AUAUUAAACACCUACUAAGGCAGCUUCCUAUCCUUUCUCUCUUCUGAAGUACAAAUGGAGUUCAGGUUCCCCUCCAGACUCUUUCACCAAAGCUCCUUCUGAGAAAGAUUCUUUGCCCCCAGUUCCCAUUUCACUAUAUGAGAAUGAACCCUGGAAAUAUCUGGAAUCAGAAGAAUACCAAGAACCAUAGGGUUCUCAUCCCAACUGGGUGGACUAUUGCCACUACUACAAGGGUGAUAUACCCCCACAGCAGACUCAAAAGACAUGUAUGCAUAGGAAAACAGUCGCUGGGAAUCCCUGCCCCAUCUGCCAAGGUCACAAGUUGCAUGUUGACUUUAGGAAUGUUAAGCUCUUGGAACAGUUUGUCAGUGCCCACACGGGUAUUAUCUUCCACGCUCCAUACACAGGAGUCUGUAUGAAGCAGCACAAGAUGUUGACCCAUGCCAUCCAGAAAGCCAGGGAUCAUGGUCUCCUCAGUUACCACAUCUCCCAAGUUGAACCCCGGGACCUUGAUUUUAGUGCCUCUCAUGGAGCUAUGAGUACUUCUCUGCCAGUCCCCACCCUCGUCUCAGGUGAACCCUGGUACCUAUGGUACAGCUGGAAACAGCCAUCAGAGAAAGAACUGUCUCACCUUUGCCAGCUCUAUCAGGAUUAUCUCUAAGAAGAGAGUGGCCCCCGCACCUGAGUCAAUGCCCAAGAUGCUUCCCACAACACCAGUGGAAGCCUCCUUCACUGAAGAGACAGGCCCCUAGAGUGCUC
rnacentral:lncRNA from 1 species